AGUGAACGCUGGCGGUAGGCCUAACACAUGCAAGUCGAACGGCAGCACAGUAAGAGCUUGCUCUUACGGGUGGCGAGUGGCGGACGGGUGAGGAAUACAUCGGAAUCUACUUUUUCGUGGGGGAUAACGUAGGGAAACUUACGCUAAUACCGCAUACGACCUACGGGUGAAAGCAGGGGAUCUUCGGACCUUGCGCGAUUGAAUGAGCCGAUGUCGGAUUAGCUAGUUGGCGGGGUAAAGGCCCACCAAGGCGACGAUCCGUAGCUGGUCUGAGAGGAUGAUCAGCCACACUGGAACUGAGACACGGUCCAGACUCCUACGGGAGGCAGCAGUGGGGAAUAUUGGACAAUGGGCGCAAGCCUGAUCCAGCCAUACCGCGUGGGUGAAGAAGGCCUUCGGGUUGUAAAGCCCUUUUGUUGGGAAAGAAAAGCAGCAGGUUAAUACCCCGCCGUUCUGACGGUACCCAAAGAAUAAGCACCGGCUAGCUUCGUG
rnacentral:rRNA from 1 species